UUGAUGUGUUGCAAGUCAGACACUCAAAACUGUGUUUCACCUUCCCACCUUUACAAACACCGCGCAUGUCCACCCCAUCGCCAGCUAAACCUGACACGCGUCUGCGCCGGGUUUUUUUUUUCUUUCGCUUGCUUUUUCUGGUUUGGUUUUGUUUUAGUCAGAUGGAGGGUCUCUACUGACGAUGUCACGUCUGGGCUCACACACGCACGCACGUUCAGAAGGACAGUGGGCUGUCCGGUGUAGCAUCAUUAGCUCAGCGGAGACGUGGCGGCCCUGACACAUGUCGAGCGGAGUGCAGCCAACCCACGGACGAGCACGACUCGCUCCUGCAUAAUUUGAAGUCAUCCAUGGCAGUGCUUUGAGAAUCCUUCCCGGCGUUCCCCAUGACUUGAACGGAGCAUCGCUCAGCGCCAUGAUGGCCCUAUUCACACUCAGUUGAGUUUUCUCCUGCUCUCCACAGCUGCGCGGCCGUCUACGCAGCGGGCUUCUCUCUCUCUCUCCCUCAUGUGCGCUCUAAAGGUCAAGUAACGAGGGAGAAGAAGUGAAGGAGAAGUAACACGCAACAGCUGAGUGUGUGGGGAACGGGAGAUGAGUGACAGCAUGUUUGCCACUGCAUAAUGAGUGCUGCUCUUUCUGUACUCCACAACUGCCUCCAUGCCCCCAGGUGCGCUCGGGCCCAGUGACGCUUCACCUUAACUCCAGUCAGACAGCACAUCGGAAGUUCUUCAGUGAGGUGUGGCCGUCCAGAGAUGCCACUUAGUGUUGGCAUCCCCCUGGGGACGCCAGGAUGUCCUUUCCAGUCAAUUGUAGUGAGUAAAUGAGACGCAGAGCUAACAAUGUGUGAGUUUAUAUGCCCUGUUCUGACAAGAGGGUAAAUUGCCAAUGUCUACUGCUGCUCGCUUAAAAUGUUGGAUACAUUAUUUUUGUCUUGAUUAAAUUAUGUUCGUCCUUGCUAAUCGGGUCUAUGAAACAUCACUGUCCACUACAAACAUGUCUUGUCCCUUUAAUAUACCUUUGGCUAAAUUAUAAUUUUUAUUUUAUUUAUUUUUUUUAAGUUUAAGAUUAUUAUCUUGUGCAU